CACAUACCAGUCAAUCUACUGAGCCGCAUAGUUACCCCCAAUAGUUGUCUAUGUUCUUUAGCAAUGAGUCAUUUUUGCUACUUCCAAAUUCACAUCCAAUAUAUCCGAUCAGUCAUUGAUUUACUUCUCUUCUAUUUCCAUAGUAUUUUUCACAUUGAUUCCCUACUUAGCAUUUCUACUACCAUCACCCCAGUUUAUCUCAUUACUCCAGGGUAUGUAAUCAGAAUAUAGUAGUUUCCUUACAAGUCUGUUUGCCUAUUGAAAUGGAUUGGUAUGAUAUAAUUUUAUGACAAAUGACCCAUACAACAUACUCAGCAUUAAUAAUGUUUCCUAAUUUUAUUCUAGUUAUUAUAGCAUAUAGUAGGACUAAUAUCUACCAAGAUUUUCCCACAAAAUGGGAUAGAUACUUGCUCCUUUCCUCUCAUGACAGGGAUUAAUUUUCCCUAAAAGGAGACAAUACAGUUCUAAUUAGCUAAUUCAUUUAUUUAUUUAUUUUUGUCAUAGCUGUGUGGUUCCCUAAAGGCAUGAAAAAUCCAAACAAUUUGCAGUUGCUACCCUUCUGAUUUGGACUUGUCAAAAUUACGGAAGUUGACAUGUUCUUCAUCCUAGCCUGUUGCCCAGGUGGUUUUCCAUGGAAAAAAGGGAGAUAUAUCCAGAAGUUAAGUACAACUGGCCAGGCCCUAGAGGCUGGCAGAGGGUUUUCCCACUUCCGUCUACUCUAUAUCAGUCCAGUUUUUCUUUUUAGAAUCUUAGCAGUAGACAGAAAGCAAACAAGAACAGAUCUGACCUUCAGAAGCCUGUGUCUUCGGGCUGAACCAAGAAGAGCAUGUCACUCCAGACUUGGCUGAACAAGCUCCUCUCUCCUCCAACACCCAGAAGUAAGUCCCAACUCAGCAGGAAGGAAGUGCUAGUCACAAGACC
rnacentral:lncRNA from 1 species